GUGUGACUUUUAUAUCCUGCUCCUGCCCCCUGGCAGAAUGAUAGCAAUAAACAACAAGAAUUCCCAUACCCAUCCUAUGUCAGUGGGCUAUUCAUGGGCAGCAUCAUCUCCAGCAGCAUCCUCUUCCAUGCACUUAGCAAGAGUCUCACAUUUCCUUUAUGCAAAGUCUGAGUCUGUGUUAUGAUUUUAUGUUUUGCUGAUUGAUCAAAAAUUCAACCCAAACUGCAGAGUCCAUCCAGGUGACUGAAGAGACUCAGCAUCUGAGAAUUCUAGACACUGAGUGAAACUGUAAGCCUUGUAGAUAAGGCAGGCAAGUCAAGUAAGGAAGAUCUCAAAAGACACAGCAACACAUGCUAACCAUUCACAUUCCCUACCUAUGGACUCAGGUUGAGUAGGAGAUUAAUAAUUCAUCUUGCCUUGAGAUAAAGCACAUCAAAUAUGGCAGCCCUUGAGGGAGUGCUCUACAGACUUGGUGCAAGAUAAUCACCAGAUGGGAGCUAUCUGCACUAGCAGAAGAAACAGAAAUUGAAGAGCAUUUUUGAUAAAAAAUCCCGUAACUGCUUUUGGGUUACAUUGUAGGUGUGUGGACCACAGCCUGGCUGUGACACAAUCCGAGCCUUUGCCUUUGCUCUCUGUUCAUCUGUGCCAUGCAGUAACUGCCCUGAGCUGGGGGACUCAGAGCAAUAAAUUCUGCCUGAGGAAUAAGGACACACUCAGUGCUGCUAGCAGGCACCUUACAGCACCUUUCAUCAAAAACCAGCUGGAAGACUGGUUUUUGGGGCAGGGGGAAUCCUGCCCCACAGACGUAAAGCCCUUCCCACCUGAAUGGAAACACUCGGUCUGUCUUCAUCAUUCAGCCCAGAGCAAAGCAACUGCAGUCAUGCCGUGCAAAGAGGUGUUGUUCUUUGCAGCCCAUCAGCCCUCUGCACUCACACACCUCUAUGGUUUUGGUCCCUCAGACUGGAGAUGUGCAGCUGCUGCUCUUUUAAAUGCCGCUUCCAGCCCAGCUCCAUGCAAACAAAGCAUCACGGAGAAAUACAUCUUUCUGAGGCAGCAGUCGGGUGAAUCUUGUGUGGGAGGAAAGUUCUCCUUCCUAAACAGAAGAGGCGUUACUGUGUGCAUGAAGCUGUAGUCUGGCCAGACUAACAAAGGGGGAUACAAAAAUAGCACAGGCAGAUUCUGAGCACGCAGGAGGUUCAUUGCUCACCACAGAGUGAGUUCUCAGCACAUGGCCACGUUUUGUGGGUCUGUUGAUCAUCUCCAUGGGCAGAUGCAGGGCCUGAGCUGAGUUCCUCCAUUCUCAGCACAGAGAGCAGAACUGCAGCCGUGGUCCUGCUCUGCCACGUUUUGUGGGUCUACAGGUUGCAUCAUGGGCAGAUGCAGGGGCAGAGUUCGCAGUGGAUGAGUUCCCCACAGAGGAGUGGGGAGAGGCACAGGUUAAUUUUCCUGCUGAGAUUGUAAUUGAAGUGAUAAGUGCUUGUGGUGAUUACAGCAGUAAUACAGAGUGGAAAGUUGCUUUCUGCUGGUGGAGUUCUGCAGGUGGUGGAAAGUGUGUAGCAGCACUGAAGGCACUGGUUUUCUUCUGGGCCUCUCACUGUUGGGAUGUUCCCUUAAGGGUGCAGUGCAAUGGGGCUGAGGGUAGAGUCAAAGGAGCAUGGACACAGGGGGGAGAUGGAGUAGAAUGCAGAAGAGAUGCCAUGUCAAGCAACAAGAUGUUGUAUUUAAUGUGAGCUUAUAAACAAGGGCAGCAACUGAUUACACAGUUUAAUGGUGAUAGGAAAAAAGAGAAAGGAUUUGUACGGAAAGAGGAGUGAUUCCGUUUAGAUGCUAGAAGAAAAUUCUUGAUUCAGAGGGUGUUGCGGCACUAGCACAGCUGCCCAUUGAAGCAGUGCAUGCCUGGAGGUGCUCCAGGAUGGGUUAAAUGGGGCCGUAGGUUUUUAUGAGUCUAUUGCUAACUGCAUAAUCUUUCAGGUCCUCUCCAAAUCAAACCAUUUUCUUUGAUGACUCUGUGAUAGACUGGAGAUGGCCAGGAGGUUGCAAGAAAACAGAGCAAGGAGGAGAGCUGACGCAAAGAGACCGAUGGGACCCUGCAUGCAGAAUGAGGGCAUGAUCAGCAAGAUCAGGUGGGCAUAAGGGGGAGAAGGGAGAAGAUUCCUCCCUUUAAGAAACAGGAAACACAGACCAUGAUGAGGUGUCUGACGUCCCCAAAUAAAAGCGGUAGCUCGGCAGACACAACAGAUGCACCAUGGGCUGCAUCACAGUCUCUCACCGUGGGUAACUCUGUCAGCU
ensembl:lncRNA